UGAAUUGUUUUGAAGUUUCAAAGCUAAUAGUUCAUUAUAAGUCAUGAUUUCUAUAGAAAUGUACAUUUAUGAAGACAAUUGGAUAUGUUUGCAGAAUGCUACUCAGAAAAGCCAGAAGGUAUUUGUGCAUGUGCUUUCAGAAAUUGACGCUCAUGAAAUUAAGGAAAUUGGUAUGCCACUUAGGAUAGAAACCUGAAAUAGAUGCUACAUCUCUCUCUCUCUCUCUCUCUCUCUCUCUCUCUCCUGCAUCUUCUUUUUCUUUUUUCUCAGCGUCUUCUCUCGUUCUUUGUUGAUUUUAAAGAAGAUGCCAAGUUGCCAACUUACUUAGUGCCUCUAAAAAAUUCACAUAUAUGAUAUAUGUGCAUAUUAUCUUGUUUUUGUAUCAGCUUCAACUUUAAUUUCUACUAUCUUCUUUAUUCAACCGGGUUGAGCACUUGCUGAGGGAUGUGAAGGAUACAACCAUUAGCACCCUUGCAACAGAGGCAGCUAUAUGGGUGGAGUUGAUCUUUGGCAAAAUGAUUAUAAGCAUGAUGAUGAUUUCAAUCUUCAGUCCAUGCAUGACAAAACGCUUGAGGUGGUGUGCAUUUCUGGAGCAUGGCACCUUGGCAAACUUCAGGUACAAAAUCUUGGUUUCUGCUAAUCCUCCAAAUCAUUGUAAUAAGUGAUUGAAAUGGGUUCACCGAGCUGCCAAAAUGUAUGCUUCAUAGUUCUGAACAGGUUAAUGUGGUUUUGAACAGGUUUUGAACAGGUUCUGAAGAGGUUAAUUUCAAAUUUUGAACAGAUUCUGAACAGGUUAAUUUCAGAUUUUGAAUUUCAGAUUGUGAACAGGUUAAUCUGAUUUUCAAAUUCAGAUUCUGAAGAGGUUAAUCUAAAUUUCAGAUUCAGUCAAUUUGUGUAGAAUGACAGGUUCAGAAGCAGAAUCACAGGUUGAUUGUUUGAAGCAGAAUGACAGGUUUAGCAGAAUGAAGUUCAGAAUGAUGCAGUCUAGAAUGAAGCACUCCAGAAUUGAAGCUCAGAAUGAUGCAGUCCAGAAUUUAAGAAUGAUGCAGUCCAGAAUUACAUGAAAUUCAUAAUGAUGCAGUCCAGAAUGAAGCAACAUGGCUAUGCACUAUUGAAGCAGCAUUGAGCAGUCCAAAAUGAAGCAUUUGGCAAUAAUAUGUAAUAUGUUGCUGGAUUAUAUGUAAUCUUUUGCUGGAUAAUAUGUAUUUUUUUGGAGUUGUUAUAGAUUAUGAAUGUCUAAGUAGCAUGGUAAGAGAUUACAUAUUAUUAGUAACAUUUGGCUGUAAGUAGCAUAGAUUAUGAAUGUCUAAGUAGCAUGGUAAGAGUUAAAUUGAGGUCAACAUGAUGAUUGUUGAACAGAGGUU